AGUAGUUUGAUCAUGGCUCAGAACGAACGCUGGCGGCAGGCUUAACACAUGCAAGUCGAACGGACGUAGCAAUACGUUAGUGGCAGACGGGUGAGUAACGCGUGGGAAUGUGCCCUUUAGUUCGGAAUAACACAGAGAAAUUUGUGCUAAUACCGGAUAAUCCCGAGAGGGGAAAGAUUUAUCGCUGAAGGAGCAGCCCGCGUCUGAUUAGCUAGUUGGUGAGGUAAUGGCUCACCAAGGCGACGAUCAGUAGCUGGUCUGAGAGGAUGAUCAGCCACACUGGGACUGAGACACGGCCCAGACUCCUACGGGAGGCAGCAGGUGGGGAAUAUUGGACAAUGGGGGCAACCCUGAUCCAGCCAUGCCGCGUGAGUGAUGAAGGCCUUAGGGUUGUAAAACUCUUUUGUCCGGGAAGAUAAUGACUGUACCGGAAGAAUAAGCCCCGGCUAACUUCGUG
rnacentral:rRNA from 1 species